UGCGGGGUAGAGCAGUGGCAGCUCGUCAGGCUCAUAACCUGGAGGUCAGUGGUUCGAAUCCACUCCCCGCUA
rnacentral:tRNA from 1 species